GGGGCUCGGCGGGAGCCGGAUGAGCCUGGCUCUCUCGCUCGCUCGCUCGCUCUACCCCAGACCUCGCUCAGACGAAGAGCGCCAAUCGCCGCCCCAGUCCACCGCGCUGCGGGGCGCAGGGAAGGCCGGCCGAAGGCUUGAACCCUCGGCCGGCUGCGUGGAGUCCCGCGAUGUCCCGGCGAUGACAGGGUGGCUUGGCCCCAGGAAAAAGACGCGGGGCCGGGAGCGCCGCCACUCCCGCGCUUUCGUCUCCAGCGGCCCGGUUCUCCCGGACGCUGCGCCCCCCGCGGCGGGUCCGUCUGCACCCCAAGACUAGGGCUGGGCGAGCGGAUCCCGGGACUGGCUCUGCGAGCUUGCCCGGGGUCCGAAAUCGCCGACAGCGUCCCGGGCCCGGCAGGUCGAUCUCCGGCCGCGCGGAGAGAUCUGGCCCGCAGGCGAGCAACCAGGACUGUAGUGUUGGGUCAUUUCAUUUUCCUCGAACCCCGAGCAACUCUUCGGGCCCUCAGGGUCUUUGCUGCGCCCGCGGCGGGCUCGUGGCCACUCUCCCAGGGUCUGGGCAGAGGUUCCCGCAGCCCUGCCCGGAAGAAAGCAAUGAAUAAAUGCGGCUCGCGGGCUAGUUCACGGAAGACCAAGCCUAAGCUGAUGGGUCAGUGGACCUGUUCCCAGAAAGUUCUGGACCUCGUCAAAACGGCGGAUGUUAGCGCGGGUGGGUGUGGGUCACCCCUUGCUGCUGCUGGGAGCUCAGGGGGACCCAAGGGCGCCGGGCAGGUGACUGGGUGGGAAAGGCACGGACUGGCGCGCUGGGUGGCUCAGACCCUUUCCUAAGGGGACAAAACGGAGGGAGAAAGCGGCUUCCAGGGAUGGUGGCAGAAGACUCCAGAGCCUGCUGGCUGAGCUCUUUUCACUCGCUCAGGAAUGUAGUGUGGCUUUUCCGUUCGGUAUAGCUGGCGUGUGUAGGGUUGGGUGAAUUGACUGUCCCUUCCUUGCCACCCCUCCUCCCGAUCUGUACCCCGCUUCUGAAUUGGUCAACUUCUCCCAGAGAAAUAGAUACACGGCAUUCUCUCUCUCUCUCUCUCUCUCUCUCUCCCUCUCUCUCUCUCUCUAAAUGAUAUGAAAGGGUAUUUUUGUUUGUCUUUCUUCAGAGCUGUGCUGGGGCAGACUUGCUAGGCAAGCACUCUGCAUGUGAGCCACAGGCCCAACCCAGCCUGAUGUACCUUCUACUUGAAAUUGAGUUACUUUUUAUGUUCACUACCAGCAGCAGCAAGAAUACUAUGUUGACAGUUUUGCUUGUUGCUUUGGCUAGCCUUGAACUCACAGCAAUCCUCCUGGCUCAAUAAUUUGUAUUUCUUAAUAAUUUGUAGUUUCUUUCCUCCUCCUCCUCCUCCUUCUCCCCCCCCCUCUCUCUCUCUGGUGUGUGUGUUUCGGGGGACUUCGGGUAUUGACCCUAUGCACAUGGUAAGCAAGCACUGUACCACUGAACUAUAUUCCUAGCCUCCACCUUCCUUAGUUGUGAAUUUAUUUUCAGAGAACUGGGAAGAUGCUACAUAUUUUGAUUGUGCUUUUUUUUUUUUUGAUAAUGUCCAUAUAGCCCAGGCAUGCCUCAAAUUCCUUAUAUAGUCAUGAUGGUUAACCUUCAACUUUUCAUCCUCCUGCCUCUACCUUCCGAAUGCUGGAAUUACAGGAACAGGGCAUUGUGUUUAGCUCUAUGCUUUUAUUUUUAAUAGUCAAAAUAAAAUAUAUAAGUGUAAUUAAAUUCAUUCAGAUCCCUGUCCAGGAACAGAUGAAACAAUAAACUGGGACGUGUAGAGCAGAUGUGGUGGUGUAUGCUUGCACUGGAGAGGCAGGCACAGGAAGGUAGUUAACAAAUUUGAGGACAGCCUGCUUUAAAUAGCACAUUCUAGGCUUAAAGGACAUAGGGAGACCUUGUCUUAAAUAAACAAAAUAAAUAAAAGUUUGGAAAAUAACUUAAAUGCUGAAAUAAAUAAACAAGAUGUUGUUCAGU
rnacentral:lncRNA from 1 species